CCUACGGGAGGCAGCAGUGAGGAAUAUUGGUCAAUGGACGCAAGUCUGAACCAGCCAUGCCGCGUGCAGGAAGACGGCUCUAUGAGUUGUAAACUGCUUUUGUACGAGGGUAAACGCAGAUACGCGUAUCUGUCUGAAAGUAUCGUACGAAUAAGGAUCGGCUAACUCCGUGCCAGCAGCCGCGGUAAUACGGAGGAUUCAAGCGUUAUCCGGAUUUAUUGGGUUUAAAGGGUGCGUAGGCGGUUGGAUAAGUUAGAGGUGAAAUCCCGGGGCUCAACUUCGGAAUUGCCUCUGAUACUGUCCGGCUAGAGAGUAGUUGCGGUAGGCGGAAUGUAUGGUGUAGCGGUGAAAUGCUUAGAGAUCAUACAGAACACCGAUUGCGAAGGCAGCUUACCAAGCUACUACUGACGUUGAGGCACGAAAGCGUGGGGAGCAAACAGGAUUAGAUACCCUGGUAGUC
rnacentral:rRNA from 1 species